rnacentral:rRNA from 1 species
UGGCGGACGGGUGAGUAAUGUCUGGGAAACUGCCUGAUGAGGGGGGAUAACUACUGGAAACGGUAGCUAAUACCGCAUAACGUCGCAAGACCAAANAGGGGGACCUUCGGGCCUCUUGCCAUCGGAUGUGCCCAGAUGGGAUUAGCUAGUAGGUGGGGUAACGGCUCACCUAGGCGACGAUCCCUAGCUGGUCUGAGAGGAUGACCAGCCACACUGGAACUGAGACACGGUCCAGACUCCUACGGGAGGCAGCAUG